CUGGAAUUGCAAAUGCAGUACAGCUGACUUAGUUUCACAUGGUCAGUUGGAGAUUUCCCAGGCAAAAUUUCUAGUAACCCAGCAUUUGAUUGUCACAUCAGUGAGCAAGGUUCAGUUUAGGGACUGAGAGCCCUCAGUGACUAUAACACCUAGCCCAUAUUCAAAUUGUAGCACUUGAUUGCUGCCACUGAUUCUUCAAAAUGCCUAUCUUGUAUGGAAUGCUUGACAGCCAAAUGGAAUGAUUUAAACAAAUGCCAAAGGUGAGACAUGCUGGAAAAGCUUGAUAUGAAUGUGUAGACGUAGUUUUGGAAUUCAGAGGUGCAGCCGGCUGUUGGGAUUGCGCCAUCCAGGCAAUGUGGAUAUUCUGCCAUGUACAUGAUAAACCGAGGAUUCUUCGUCAACAUGCGAGAUAUUACUCCCUGUAAACUACUGUUGACAGAAAAGCUGAUACAUUGGGAAAACGGUUAUGGCAAGUGCGAUGAAUAGAUCACCAUAGGUCAGUCGUCUUGCCUUCACAAUUGCAAUGAAGAUGAAUCAUGGAGUCAAAAACAUUAAUAGGUGGUACUAUUUUAAAUUUUUAAAUUGUUUUAAUUGGUGUAUCGCUAAGUGCUGAGACAUGUGUAGAACAUGCUGGAAUUCAUGUCAUCCUGGAGAGGACUAAAAAAAACGAGCUUUAUCCACGAAGCAGCUCAUUAAUCAUGUCCCAAACGAUUGUCUGCGUCAGCCAGCUAUCUUUCAAUGGCUAACAAGCAUUUAAUAGUUCUGAAAAUUGCGGUUGGCACUCCCUAAGGCGACAUUCCUUAAUCCUCACCUGUCAAUAGAUUAGAGUGCAACCAUUUCUAUUCUGAACUGUCGCCUACGAAAUUCUUUUUCCAUAAAAUCAGGUGAUAUGAUGUUAUAAUGGAAAUUGUUGUCAAGACUACCGAGACCAGCCCAUGGAAGAUCUCUGUGUCCAACACGAAGGGUUCUUCCAAACUUUCGUAUUCAAGUUUUGGCUAUGGUGAUCAUUUGCAACUGCAUAGCCUUUUAGAAGCUCCUGCCAGGAAUCUACAGGAAUAUGGCAGAUGAUGAAUUUAAGUACCAUGUAAGCGAUAUUAAUAAGAACGUCUUAUGCUUAUCUAUGUUUUAUUUUCUUAAUU